GUAUGGUCAGGCGGGAUCAUCUGCCAGCUGGAGGUCUCAGGACUGUGGAAAACCAUGUAUUCUAGCAGUAUAUUCUCUGGCCCAGCCGACCAUUACUAUCUUCAUAACGCUUAUGAAACUGUGCCUUCUCUAAGGCCAUUCACAGCUCUCGACUGGGCUAUCCUUCUUUGCCCUCUGUGCAUAAUUUCAUGCUUAUUUGAUCUCCCCAACCUCUGCACUGACCUGGCUUCUUGUGUUAUAUCCUAAACAACUUGUUCUUGGUUUCAUCCACUCAGUUCUCUGGAUCAGCCAGCUUCACACAGAAGUGACAGCACUUCUGAAAUCCCCUCUUAGUCACUUUUGUAACUUCAACCUCUGCUAAAGGUAGACACUCACUCUAUAGACCAGGCCUUGAGCUCAAAGAUCCACCUGCCUCUGCCCCCUGGCCCCCUCCACCUCCCCACGAGUGCUGGGACUAAAGGUGUGAACCACCACCACCACCACCACCACCACCCAGCUCCCUUGUUUUCUUAACAUUGAUCUAUUUAUAACUAGAGUGAGCAAAGCAGUGGUGGUGCACAACUUUAAUCCCACCACUCAGGAGGCAGAGGCAGGUGGAGCUCUGUGAUUUCGAGGCCAGCCUGGUCUACAAUAUGAGUUCCAGGACAGCCAGGGAUACACAGAGAAACCCUGCCUCAAAAAGAAAAUCAAAUAAACCCCCACAGAGUUACACCUUAUCCACUGCCCAAUGUCCUGCCAUUGGUUCCCAGACCAGAGCCUAGAGCCUGAAAUGGUCAUAUGCUCAGGCCCCAUUGCAAAGGACAGUGGGAAGGCACCUGCUUGUCUAACCUCUGGGGUGGCAAAGCUCGGGAGGGACUCCUCCUUAGGCAGCAGAGAUGCUCACUGGUGUGGGCUGUGCACACUCUGGUUUUCUUUCCUCUAAACUUGUGGGCCCCCAGGUUCAAGCUUUUAAUUUUCAGGUUUGCAUAUCUAUAAGUGCCUCCGUGUAUCUAUGUGGACCACAUGUAUGCCUGGUGCCUGUGGAAAUGAGAAGAAAGCAUUGAAUCCCCUCAAAAAGUGUUCUUAACCCCUUAGCCAUCUCUCCAGCCCCAGGUUCAAAUCCUGAGCACCGUCUGAACUAGUCCUGUGUCCAAGACAGUAUCAUCAAACCCUGCCCUUCCCGCCUUGUGCCAGCUCGCGCUUUUUCUUACAUCUGUAUGUUGAUGCUUAGCAGGUUCCUUGAAUGCUUGGUUUAUGUGCCUGGCUGGAGGAGACACCCAUGGCCUUGCAGAGGGAGCGUUCUGGUGGGAAAGCAGACACAACCCACCCUAGGCCCGUGGUUUCCCUGCAAGAAGCCCAGUGGCUUUCUGGAGGACACUUUUCCUGGAGGAAGUGACUCAAGCAUAAGCCAGGCUCUAUGGAAUGUUGGGUGAGCUGCUUGAGGAACUCCAAGGCCUGUCCCACAGUCUUCCAGCCUCCGACUCUCCGGCCCUCAGCGAGGAAGUCCCACUGGUUUUUUUGGUUGGUUUUUUUUUUUUUUUUUAAGGUUUUUUGGUUUUUUUUUUUUUUUCUCAUUCCUGUCUUGGGAGCUUUCCCCAACCAGGAGAGUGAAGAUGGGCGGAGCUGUCACACCAACUGUUAGCCUGCCUUGGCUGAGAGGAGAGGAGGCGAGGAGGGAGCGACCACCCAGCUUUAGUCGUUUUAAAACAGCUCCUGACCCUAGAAGAAGGGAAAUGGAGAUGAAGACCCAAUUGACUUGCAGACUGAUCGAACACACAGGCUUCUCAGCCCACUCCCUCCAGUCAAGGUUAAGGCCUGGCAAAGGUGGAGGAAGAGAAGCUGAGGAGAAAAAGGCGAGGAGAGCCUAGGCACAGGAAGGUGACCGCUUCCCUCCCUCCCAGUGCUGAUUUCCUGUGGACCAGAUUCCAGCACAGUGGAGGGCCAGAGCUCAGGGAACAGACCCAGCAGCACAGCAAGUCUCCAAGGAAAGCUCUAGCAGUCUCCAGGGGCUGAAGGCAGGACUGGGGAAGCGGCUAGCCAGGCUGCAGAAGGCAAAUGCUCCCAGACGGCUGUCCAGCACGCAUCCGCCUUCCUAGCCAAGUUUCCUGGGCUCCUGCCACAGAUCUAAGCCUCAUCCUGACAUCCUGCCCUCUGUGCUCUGGGAUGGCCCAGGGGAGAUGCUUAGCCUUGGCUCCUUGUCUGCUGGUGGAGGGGACACACACCCUUUCUGGACCACAGACCAAAAAGAAGACCUGACGUCAUCCUGAGCACCCCCGCCAUGCAGAGUGUGUUCGCAGACUGCCAACGGGCUGGCUCCGGCCAGCAGAAGUGAACAGAGGUGGAGGUUCAGCCUGACAGCUUCUCCCCAAAGCCAUGGAGAGAAAACCUUACCACCCCCACCGCCCAGCUACUUCCAGCAAGUUGUCCAGCCUGACCCCUCUAUUUCCCCUGUUGUCUCUUAUCUGGGUCCCUGAGACCCACCCCAUCUCCAAUAAAGAACAUUGCAUACUGUGCAUCCACUACUGAACAACAUAGUCACACCAGGCAGGGCUCCCUAAAGCCUACCUGCAUGGCCAGCGUGGUCCGAGGACAGUGUGCUCUCCCCACCCUGUCUGCUAGCCUCCAGCUUCAUGGGAACUCCAUUAAUCAUGGGAUUCCGAGAUCAUCAGAGCAAUAGGAUCACUCCGUCUCCAGGGGAGCACAAGGCAAGAGCCAGAGCGGGACUGUUCUUCAGUCAAGGGGCAGGGGUUGCUGCCUCU
rnacentral:lncRNA from 1 species